AGAUCGGUAGCACAGUGGAUAGUGCAGUCUGUCGAAAACAGAAAGACGCGGGUUCAAUUUCCGUCCGAUGUC
rfam:Nippostrongylus brasiliensis genome assembly, scaffold: NBR_contig0003408